AUGUUACCAAACGGCACCGAUGAUUUUAAAAAAUUUUAAAAACACUUUUACUUCUCUCUCUCGUUAGUCAUUCUUCAGAGUAGUUUCCAUGGCUUCAACUUCACCAUUACAAGAUUUGAAAAUGAAAAAAUGAGAAGAGCAUGACAAUGAAAGUGGUUUCUUAGAGAGAAAGAUCUUUUUGCUAUUACAGAUGGUAGGAACAGAUAAUGAGGUGGUUAUUAUUGAUAAUAGCGAAGCUUCUGUUUGGCCUGAAAAACAUGAAGAAAUUUUUAUUGAACUUAUGGAAGAAGAAGUUUUGAAGGGAAAUAGGAAUACUAUAACCUUUACAAAGCAAUCGUGGAAGCGUAUAAAGGAGGAGCUAUAUGCACAAGCGAAGAGAAGUUACACUGAUAUGCUGAUCAUAAAUGGAGAGCAAAUCGACGAUGAAGAUAAUGAGUGAAAAUUAUUAACAAUUAGAAUUUUUUUAAUAGUUUUCUUCAAUAUUAGAUAAUUAUUAGUUCAUAUUUUAUUAUGACUUUGUCAGUUUUGUGUUAUAGAUAAUGAGUUUCGUGAUUUUAAAUUACUUGAAUUUUUUUAA